CCAAGAACAGAGCAGAACCUUCAAGGGGUUAUUUAUUUAUUACAAACACGAUAAAAAUACAGAGGAGUUGAAAUGAAAAAAAAAAAAAAAAAAAA
rnacentral:ribozyme from 1 species